rnacentral:rRNA from 1 species
CCUACGGGCGGCUGCAGUGGGGAAUAUUGCACAAUGGGCGCAAGCCUGAUGCAGCCAUGCCGCGUGUGUGAAGAAGGCCUUCGGGUUGUAAAGCACUUUCAGCGGGGAGGAAGGCGUUAAGGUUAAUAACCUUGGCGAUUGACGUUACCCGCAGAAGAAGCACCGGCUAACUCCGUGCCAGCAGCCGCGGUAAUACGGAGGGUGCAAGCGUUAAUCGGAAUUACUGGGCGUAAAGCGCACGCAGGCGGUCUGUCAAGUCGGAUGUGAAAUCCCCGGGCUCAACCUGGGAACUGCAUUCGAAACUGGCAGGCUAGAGUCUGGUAGAGGGGGGUAGAAUUCCAGGUGUAGCGGUGAAAUGCGUAGAGAUCUGGGGGAAUAGCGGUGGCGAAGGGGGCCCCCUGGACAAAGACUGACGCUCAGGUGCGAAAGCGUGGGGAGCAAACAGGAUUAGAUACCCGAAGUC